rnacentral:rRNA from 1 species
UAUGUGAUCGUCUCUCGCAUAUCAAUAAGCGGAGGAAAAGAAACUAACAAGGAUUCCCCUAGUAACGGCGAGUGAAGCGGGAAGAGCUCAAAUUUGAAAUCUUAAAGGGUUUCCCUUUACGAAUUGUAGUUUAAAGAAGUGUUUUCUGUUGAGGUUUUGGUAAAAGUUCUUUGGAAUAGGACAUCAUAGAGGGUGAGAAUCCCGUAUUUGACCUUUACUUUCAACUUCGUGAUACACUUUCAAAGAGUCGGAUUGUUUGGGAAUGCAGUCCAAAAUGGGUGGUAAAUUUCAUCUAAAGCUAAAUAUUGGCGAGAGACCGAUAGCGAACAAGUACCGUGAGGGAAAGAUGAAAAGAACUUUGAAAAGAGAGUUAAACAGUACGUGAAAUUGUCAAAAGGGAAGCGUUUGACACCAGUGUUGUUUUUCUGAAAAUCAAUUAAAGAACUGUUUAUGCUAAGUUGUUUAGACUUUAUCAGCUAACUGUUUAGUUUUGAGCUUUUCUUUAAUGCACUUUUCAGUUAACAAGUCAACAUCAAUUUCUUUUGCUGUAAAAAAGCUCGAGGAAGGUGGCUUGAGAUUCGUCUUAAGUGUUUAUAGCCUCUUGCCUAUGCAGUCGGAGAGAUUGAGGUCUGCAGCGUAGAUCCUUCGGGGCUAAAUGCAUUUGUGCUAAGUUAUAGCAUUUUAUAGACAACUUGUUGACUAUGAUUUGUCUUGUAGCUUACUCGCUUAUGUUAUUUUACCUACGCUUAGGAUGUUGAUCUACAGAGCGAGAGU